AGUUCCCUUCAAGCACUUUACG
rnacentral:miRNA from 1 species